UGCUCGGGCAACUUGAACAAAAGGAGAAACUCGGGUGAACUCCGCAUCUCUCCCGGAUUAGCUCAUCUUCGGCAACUUUAUCCGGAUAGAUCGAAGCAACUUUCUCCCAUCUCUCCCGACACUCUUCAAAGCGUUCAGCCCCUCUGUAAGCUCGUGAGGAAACUGGGGUUCGCGGUGUAAAGAAAGCAGAAGGUCAAAAACAUGGCUGUCUGGAGAACGGGAUGCUUGCCAAAACAUCAAUCUGUGCUGGGUGCCAUACUGGUUAUCCUUCCAGUGGUGGAAUACAACUUGGGUCUCCUCAGGAGGUGACUGGCGUGGAACAAACUGUACCACACAUUGAUGGUGUGAAGACCUGAUGUCUUCGUUGUUUGGAUACGUGUGUAAGUUAAUGAGCUGCUGGGAGAAGACGAAGAAGCUUUUGCAGAAACAUGAGGAUAUUGUGGGAAAUGCUGCUGCUAACCAUUUGGAUUAUAUUGCUGCCUGAUGCACAGGUUCUGCAGAUAACAUAAGGAACUCUCCAGAUCUUUUUUGUUGUGGGAUUGCUGAAGCAUUUUCCUGGCACAGCAGUAAUGAUUGAUGAACACACUUCAGGGGCUUGCUUUGUGACCUGGGUUAUGAUCUAUGUCUGCUACUGAAGCUAUCUUGACUGGUGUGAGAAAUGUCUCUCUGCAUAUGCAGAGGUGCAGCACAGCCCCUGGCUCUCAAUACAAUCUUCAGAUGAAGGAGGCAAAAUAACAAUUCCAGGCACUGUAAAGAGGACCUUUUUCUUUGAUGAGGACAUUGCUGGGUUUAACUAGCAGAAGGUAGUGUCUUUAUAUCGUUACAUGAUGCAGAAGGAUUGCUCUUUGCCAGCUGCCAAAUCAAGCAUUGUUGUGCAGUCUCUGCCUUCAGCAACAUCUUCGGUGUUCUGGCAGUGGGACCCUUGAAAGGACAGGGCAAAAGAGACUUCAUGCUGCCCCUGUACUUCAGACUCUGCUCUGGCAAAUUCCUCUAAAUAGUAGGCACGUAAGAAAGGGAGAAGUUGGAUGUGAUCGGUUUGUUUGUGUGCUACAUCAUCCUUCCAGAUGACCUAGUUUAGGAUUCUGAUGAGAUCUGAAGAGCAGAGUAUUGAAAAUGUUUGUGAGAGCCUGUGUGCCAGAACAAUAUGGGGUAAAAUCAUCUUAAUGAGAUGUUAGAUCAUUUGCAGAGUACAUUUCUCGGUAAAUACGGUGAAUUUAUUUUUCUGAAGAGGACCACAAUAGGCCUCUCACAGGAUUGCACUUUCAUAAAGCUGGAAAAAAAAUAAGUAGUGGUUUUGACUCUUCUAAAGCUUGUGCAGGAGCAAUUUUUGGUUGCACAUCUAUGGUUUUAGCCAUCCUUUUUACGCAGUUUGUUAUUACCAGUCUGCCCCAGAUUCACAUGUA